GAGGUUCGUGGUAGGAGAGCGUUCUAAGGGCGGUGAAGUCAGACCGGAAGGACUGGUGGAGCGCUUAGAAGUGAGAAUGCCGGUAUGAGUAGCGAAAGAAGGGUGAGAAUCCCUUCCACCGAAUAUCUAAGGUUUCCUGAGGAAGGCUCGUCCGCUCAGGGUUAGUCGGGACCUAAGCCGAGGCCGAUAGGCGUAGGCGAUGGACAACAGGUAGAGAUUCCUGUACCAGUGCUAAUUGUUUAACCGAUGGGGUGACACAGAAGGAUAGGGAAUCGCACGAAUGGAAAUGUGCGUCCAAGCAGUGAGUGUGAGAAGUAGGCAAAUCCGCUUCUCGCGAAGCAUGAGCUGUGAUGGGGAAGGAAAUUAAGUACGGAAGUUCCUGAUUUCACGCUGUCAAGAAAAGCCUCUAGGAAGAGUAGUACUGCCCGUACCGCAAACCGACACAGGUAGAUGAGGAGAGAAUCCUAAGGUGAGCGAGAGAACUCUCGUUAAGGAACUCGGCAAAAUGACCCCGUAACUUCGGGAGAAGGGGUGCUCUAUUAGGGUG
rnacentral:rRNA from 1 species